rnacentral:lncRNA from 1 species
GAAAAUCCAAAGCUGAAGAACUCCGUCCUUUGUUUGUUUCCCUGCGCGCUGCGCAACACAAUAACCUUCAUCUCCGCCCUUUGCACACCCAACAAGAAGCGCUUCGCGAGGUCGGUUACGAAUCCAACGUUGUUCUCCUCAACUUAUGCUGCCGUCCACGUCACCACCCAAAUGUUCCCUCUCCUCCGCAAACUCCACAUUCCCUUCUUCUCACACAGAAGAAGAA